GACGUAUCGGGUUGUCAAUAUGCGUCGGACACAAUUCUUAGCCAUUUUUGGAGUAUCCGGGCUUUCACAUGUUAAGAUUUUGGUGGCAACGACCUCUCCGUUAGCAUGAUUACGGUCCAGAUUGCUUAGAGCAACAGAGUGAAAAUCUUGGAUUCUUCCAAGGAAUUGGUGGCUGGAACAUGAACAUCAACAUAAAAUAAUCUUGCGUUCAGCCUCCAUGAGUUACAAUUUUGAUGAAGUUGGUAGCUAUUACUCCCUCCUCUUGUUCGUCUUCUCGUCGUCAACCAUGGUUGCAUUUCUCACAAAAUCUCAAAGUGUCAUGCCAGAUUCAUCACCAGGGUCUAUUUGUGACUUCUGAUCAAGAAUAGCAAAUAUGGAAGCAGUAGCACUUUUUGCAUUUGUUGAAUCAGGAAGCAAGCUCCCUGAUUGAGAGACCCCCAUAGCUGCCAUGCUGAGUGCAAAAAAGACCUGCAAAUCAGGAAACACAAAAUCAAUGGUAUAAAAUUGUGUUAGGUUAGAUUUUUCAUUUCUUCAUUUUUUAAGGUUUUCAUUGCUAUAUCCCUUUGCGGGUCAUUGUUGUUGCUUAAUGCAUUUUACGAUUUUCGUCUUUAAGUAAUAGUGGGAAAGAAUUGUUUGUGCCAUUUUUAUUGGUUGGAAAUUAUUUUUAUUCUAAUUA